ACAGCACAUGUCUGCAGACCUCAAACCCAGGGCAACCAGUUAAGCAUUCUCUGUAGUGUUCUUUCCCAGUCCUUAACUUAUUCUAAUAACAGCUGUUCUGCUAGAGUCUCGGUGAUUAACAGGGUGUCAAGCCACUCCUCCAGAACACUCCAGAAGAGUCUCCAGUGGGGUACCUGAUGGAUUCUGCGUCACAGAUGGCUUCUCCGUACAUCAAGUGAUAAGCGGCUGCCCUGUUUCCAUUUCUCCUGGUGUGAAACUUCACUCCCAGAGGCAUUGGAAGCUAAGAAAGGAGGGCAACGGGAGGAGCACUGUUGAGAAGACAGGCCAACAGAGGAUUUCAAGCUUGCUUUGUAAGCCCUCUGGGUUAGGAAGCCUCAUGAGAGGACGCUUCAGACUCUGUCUACAUCUAACCUGCCGUUUCCAUCGGUUGUUA
rnacentral:lncRNA from 1 species